GCGGGUGUAGUUCAAUGGUAGAACUUCAGCCUUCCAAGCUGAUUGCGUGGGUUCGAUUCCCACUACCCGCU
rnacentral:tRNA from 1 species